rnacentral:rRNA from 1 species
UAGGGAAUAUUGCGCAAUGGAGGAAACUCUGACGCAGCGACGCCGCGUGGGUGACGAAGGCUUUCGGGUCGUAAAGCCCUGUCGGAGGGGACGAAAGACUCCAGGAUAACACCCUGGAGGGAUGACGGUACCCUCAAAGGAAGCACCGGCUAACUACGUGCCAGCAGCCGCGGUAAUACGUAGGGUGCAAGCGUUGUUCGGAAUCAUUGGGCGUAAAGCGUGUGUAGGUUGUUUAUCAAGUUGAUUGUGAAAUCCCUCGGCUCAACCGAGGAAGUGCAGUCAAAACUAAUAGGCUAGAGGACAGCAGAGGAUGGUGGAAUUCCAAGUGUAGAGGUGAAAUUCGUAGAUAUUUGGAGGAAUACCGGCGGCGAAGGCGGCCAUCUGGACUGUUCCUGACACU